rnacentral:lncRNA from 13 species
CUAGGUACAGUGGUUCACACCUGUAAAUCCCAGCACUUCAGGAGACCAAGGUGGGCAGAUCAUGAGGUCAAGAGAUCAGGACCAUCCUGGUCAAACAUGUAGGAGAUGUUUCAUGCCUGAAGAAGACCUUGUCCACAGUGUCAAAGUUGGCUUCUCUCUGUUGAACUUUGUUGACUCCUGCUGCCCUGAGUCCUGACCAUGGCAGACAGCAAAACUCUACCUACUGGAUAAUCAGAAGCAGAGUUGGUGGCUUUUUCAAAUGGUUGCAAAUCUCCAACCCAUGUGAUAAAAGAUGCUGACAUUAAUAUUCUGGUGUGCAAGCUAAUUCCUUCAGCCCAGCUGUGAGGCAGAGGCUCUGUGACCGAGGUGAGACCACCGCAAUGUGCAGCGUGUACAGGGUCCUCCGGAAGACUGAUCUGUUACUUGUACCUCGUGCAAAUUGUGGCAGCUUGACUGUUUCCAUGGGUGAGCAGAAGUGGCUCUGUUUUCUCGCUGCUGCUUUCAAU